AGCGGGAAGUAGUUUACUACUUUGCCGGCGAGCGGCGGACGGGUGAGUAAUGUCUGGGAAACUGCCUGAUGGAGGGGGAUAACUACUGGAAACGGUAGCUAAUACCGCAUAACGUCUUCGGACCAAAGUGGGGGACCUUAGGGCCUCACGCCAUCGGAUGUGCCCAGAUGGGAUUAGCUAGUAGGUGGGGUAAUGGCUCACCUAGGCGACGAUCCCUAGCUGGUCUGAGAGGAUGACCAGCCACACUGGAACUGAGACACGGUCCAGACUCCUACGGGAGGCAGCAGUGGGGAAUAUUGCACAAUGGGCGCAAGCCUGAUGCAGCCAUGCCGCGUGUGUGAAGAAGGCCUUCGGGUUGUAAAGCACUUUCAGCGAGGAGGAAGGCCAAUAACUUAAUACGUUGUUGGAUUGACGUUACUCGCAGAAGAAGCACCGGCUAACUCCGUGCCAGCAGCCGCGGUAAUACGGAGGGUGCAAGCGUUAAUCGGAAUUACUGGGCGUAAAGCGCACGCAGGCGGUUUGUUAAGUCAGAUGUGAAAUCCCCGCGCUUAACGUGGGAACUGCAUUUGAAACUGGCAAGCUAGAGUCUUGUAGAGGGGGGUAGAAUUCCAGGUGUAGCGGUGAAAUGCGUAGAGAUCUGGAGGAAUACCGGUGGCGAAGGCGGCCCCCUGGACAAAGACUGACGCUCAG
rnacentral:rRNA from 1 species